GCUUUUAGCUCAGUGGUCGAGCGUUGGCUUUGGAAGCCACAGGUCGGUGGUUCGAACCCGCCAGGCA
rnacentral:tRNA from 1 species